GCCAAAGUGCUCCUGGAUAAGCUUGUUAGCGAGUUCAAAAGGACAACGACCACGCCCAGUCCGGCAGCAGUCAAGACAUUCGUUACCAGGCUGGGUCCCCUGGGCAAGUUCUUGAACACCAAUGAGAUGAUAGACAUGGUGGACUCCACAAUGCGGGACCGCACCAACGAGAUCGCCACCAUGCUGCGCGACACCAUUGGGAAGAAGUCGGCGCCACUCGGGCAACGCUGUGACGUCUUCAAGCGGACCCAGAGGGGUGUCAACUUGACAGAGCUAAUUAAGAGUGACGUCAACAAGAUAG